AGAGUUUGAUCAUGGCUCAGAUUGAACGCUGGCGGCAGGCCUAACACAUGCAAGUCGAGCGGUAGCACAGAGAGCUUGCUCUCGGGUGACGAGCGGCGGACGGGUGAGUAAUGUCUGGGAAACUGCCUGAUGGAGGGGGAUAACUACUGGAAACGGUAGCUAAUACCGCAUAACGUCGCAAGACCAAAGUGGGGGACCUUCGGGCCUCAUGCCAUCAGAUGUGCCCAGAUGGGAUUAGCUGGUAGGUGGGGUAACGGCUCACCUAGGCGACGAUCCCUAGCUGGUCUGAGAGGAUGACCAGCCACACUGGAACUGAGACACGGUCCAGACUCCUACGGGAGGCAGCAGUGGGGAAUAUUGCACAAUGGGCGCAAGCCUGAUGCAGCCAUGCCGCGUGUGUGAAGAAGGCCUUCGGGUUGUAAAGCACUUUCAGCGGGGAGGAAGGCGGUGAGGUUAAUAACCUCAUCGAUUGACGUUACCCGCAGAAGAAGCACCGGCUAACUCCGUGCCAGCAGCCGCGGUAAUACGGAGGGUGCAAGCGUUAAUCGGAAUUACUGGGCGUAAAGCGCACGCAGGCGGUCUGUCAAGUCGGAUGUGAAAUCCCCGGGCUCAACCUGGGAACUGCAUUCGAAACUGGCAGGCUAGAGUCUUGUAGAGGGGGGUAGAAUUCCAGGUGUAGCGGUGAAAUGCGUAGAGAUCUGGAGGAAUACCGGUGGCGAAGGCGGCCCCCUGGACAAAGACUGACGCUCAGGUGCGAAAGCGUGGGGAGCAAACAGGAUUAGAUACCCUGGUAGUCCACGCUGUAAACGAUGUCGAUUUGGAGGUUGUGCCCUUGAGGCGUGGCUUCCGGAGCUAACGCGUUAAAUCGACCGCCUGGGGAGUACGGCCGCAAGGUUAAAACUCAAAUGAAUUGACGGGGGCCCGCACAAGCGGUGGAGCAUGUGGUUUAAUUCGAUGCAACGCGAAGAACCUUACCUGGUCUUGACAUCCACAGAACUUAGCAGAGAUGCUUUGGUGCCUUCGGGAACUGUGAGACAGGUGCUGCAUGGCUGUCGUCAGCUCGUGUUGUGAAAUGUUGGGUUAAGUCCCGCAACGAGCGCAACCCUUAUCCUUUGUUGCCAGCGGUUCGGCCGGGAACUCAAAGGAGACUGCCAGUGAUAAACUGGAGGAAGGUGGGGAUGACGUCAAGUCAUCAUGGCCCUUACGACCAGGGCUACACACGUGCUACAAUGGCAUAUACAAAGAGAAGCGACCUCGCGAGAGCAAGCGGACCUCAUAAAGUAUGUCGUAGUCCGGAUUGGAGUCUGCAACUCGACUCCAUGAAGUCGGAAUCGCUAGUAAUCGUAGAUCAGAAUGCUACGGUGAAUACGUUCCCGGGCCUUGUACACACCGCCCGUCACACCAUGGGAGUGGGUUGCAAAAGAAGUAGGUAGCUUAACCUUCGGGAGGGCGCUUACCACUUUGUGAUUCAUGACUGGGGUGAAGUCGUAACAAGGUAACCGUAGGGGAACCUGCGGUUGGAUCACCU
rnacentral:rRNA from 1 species